UCUCUGUUUCCUUCUAGAAGCCGAGGAUAUGAUCUCUCGGCUUUAUGGCAUGCUCCCACUGGGCUGUGGUGAACUCUUAUUCCUCAGGUAUCAGAAGCCAAAGUAAACUGUGCCUUCCUCAAGUUCCCUUUGGUCAUGGUGUUUUGUUACAGUAACAGAAAGAGGACUCCGAAGUUCUUGAUGGUGGGGCAGGCAUGGUGCCAGGGACAGGAGGAUAAACUGUACACAGGAAGCACCGGAGUGAACUGGAAGCGAGGUCAUUUGCGAUGCUCACAUGGAACAACAUCAUCGCGAGGCUCCUGAGGAAUGACAUUAUCUCGAUAUUCACAACAAAGGGCAUCAUCUCAAUGCUCAUGAGGAACGGAGUCAUCAUGGAGGCUCACGAGGAAUGGUGUCAUCACUAUGCUCAUUUGGAAUGACUUCAUCAAGGGUCACAUGUCACCUCAAGAGCUAUGAAGGCUACUCUCAGUUUUCUGAAUGGAUGGGGCAGAUGGUUCGGUAAUAUGAUUUUAGACAAUCCAGUAAAUGUAUUAGUUAAAUUAAAAUAAGAAUCCAUACAUGAGAUACAAAGUCCUGCCUGUGGUUCAUAAAGUUCACUAUGGGCUGCCUUGCUUGCCUUUUCAGGCUCUGUUUGUGCUUCUGUGGGCCUUGUCCAGGAUCUUCACUCAGCCAUAUUUUCACUGGGUAUCUUCCUGUCCCCUUCUUUCUGGGUUGCAACCUGAGCAUCUUUCUGCCAUCACCUCUGUGACAUUACAUGGCCUUUGUGGUUUUCUUAACUGAUUCACUCAUCUGUCUAAGCACAUUACAGACAGGAUUCACACAACUUCAAAUGUUACAACAGCAAUAAAUUGAUCUAGAUUUCCAUA